GCUCUUCUUCUUGUGAAAAUAUACAUUUUGGAUCAGACUUGUGGCCUCUCCUGACAUUUCAUCCCUCACAGUGACAAACACCUAGGAAGGAGAAUAAAAGAAAAAAUCUUUGGUAACGGUUUCCCCAGAAGACACCUGCAGUCUCUGGCAAUUUUGCUCCUUGAAGUGGAUUCUGAGCCAGGUGGAUCUUGCAUGCAGCUGCCCUUGAGGGCAGCAUAGAGGUUGAGUACAAUACACAUUGGUGUUUACUGAUCAUCUUCUGACCGUUGGAGCUACUGCUGUGAUAUGGAGUCCUCUGUCACAGUUUGAACAGCACACUGUGACAUCAGAUCAGAUCUGGAACAUGCUUUCUGACAAUCCUGUAAGUGAAGAUAAUUCACAAAAUCCUUGAAACUGGUUACAUGAAUUUAAGGCUUUGUCGGAUGUUAAAGAAAUGAAAAGCAAACCAUGUGACUCACAACAGUAUCUAAACAGAGGACAGGCCAUGAAAUAAAUCAUCUGCAUCCAGAAGAUACAAGAUUUCCAUUUUUCCCUCUGAAAAUCUCACGUAUCUUCAGAGAUGUGUUUUGUCCCCCAGGCUGUGGGGAGUUGAUGCCAGAUGCAACUGAAUGUUCAUAUCUGGCAGACAAAAGGUGGGUCUGAACUACGUCCUUUGUAAGCAGCCUCAUGAAGAUAACAAAUCUUUGUAUCUUAAGCUUUGUUUGUGUCUCUGUCCCUGCUGAAAAUUCUGAAGAUAGGGUUGUUCCUGCCUGAGUGGGACUUUACAGUACUUGAUAACAACAAAGUGUGUUAAUAUUUGGAAAGCUGGAAAUGUAAAGUAUUGGAGAUUUUUUUCUAUGUAUAGCCAAGCAGUCAUAUGCAGGUUAUUCCCCUGAAGAGUGUUCAUUUUUACUGUUGUUUUUUUUUUUUUUCUAUCUGUGGUUUCCUAAAUCUGCUCAGAUCUCCCUUUGAACUACAGACAUGCAUUAACCUGGCUGCAGAUAGAUGCAGUUAGGUGAGAAAUAGGCUGUGCUUAGUCAAGUUUGCUUAAUUUGUGAAGUUCUUUAUUUGUUGUGUAGUCUUCUGGUACAGGCUAUGUCACAAUAGCAAGAGCGGAUGAUUCAUGGUUAAUAAUCAAAUCUCACAUGUAAUUCCCUGGGAAUUAGGGAUAUCUAAAAGAUGUUUGGUUCAGAUUUUAUGUUUGUAAUUAUGGAAAAAUACCUAUCACAUCCACAGAAUAACAAUUUCCAGAUUAUCUAGGUGCUGUUUUAAAAUAAUGCUUAGAAUACAAAGAAAUACUUGUGCCAGUUUAAUGGUAUUUAAAAUUAGCCAAUGCAUUAGAGACUGUUUAAGUAGGUAGGUGCAACUUAAUGUCAAACUUUUGACUAGAGCAUUUAAAUUUGAAGCGAUAAAUACAUCACUAAUUAGCAUUAAUGUAACAUGAUUACAAAAUAAACAUUUGAUUAGUACAUUUAAAUUUCAGCAUAAUAAACUGCUGAACUAAUUAGUAAAUAAAGUGCUGAUAAUGCC